CAAGAGCGUAUAUUAAAGUUGCUGCGGUUAAAAAGCUCGUAGUUGGAUUUCAGUCUAGGAAGGUUAACUCGCCGAAAGGUUGUACGUUGAUUUUCCUCAGACUUCGUCAGAAGCUCGUGCUGCACUUAACUGUGUGGUACGAUGUUCUGACCUUUUACCUUGAGGGAAGUAGAGUGUUUCAGGCAGGCUACCCAGCUUGAAUACAUUAGCAUGGAAUAAUGAAAUGGAUCUCGGUUCGAUUUCGUUGGUUCUAGAGCUGAGGUGAUGAUCAAUAGGAACAGGCGAAGGUAUUCGUACUUGAGAGUGAGGAGUGAAAUCCGAUGAUCUCUUAAAGACGAUCCGAGGCGAAAGCAUUUGUCAAGGAUGUUUUCAUUGA
rnacentral:rRNA from 1 species